CAGGGCUGCCAUCAGAAAUGUUGGGGCCCCUGACAAAGUUCAAGGUCUGGGCCCCCAGUGCCCACUCACGAGUCCGCCCACAGGGCCAUCCUUGAAUCUGCCAACAAAGAUGCAUUAUGUGUGUAGAGUGAAUGCAGAGUCUGUGUGUGUAGUCAAUACAGUGUGUGUUUAGUGGAUGCAGUGUGUGUAAAGUGGCCAAAUGUAGAUCCGAAUCUGUUGUAAGUCCCAGAAUGCUUUGCUAGCUAUGGAUCUAUAAUUUGCAGGGCUGUAUUUAGCACACAGCAGUGUAUGUGUGUUUGAAUAUAAACAUGGUUUUGAAUGGAGUAUGUGUGUAUUUGAAUGUUGGUGUUUGAAUGCAAGCGUGCAUUUGUCUGUAGUAUAUAAACACACACACACAAACACACACACCCCCUGACAUACAUGCAAAUACACAGACACAGUUACACAUAUUGGCACAUAGUUACACACACAUACACUCAGGUUCACACUGACACAGAUACAUAGACAUACACACAUAUACACAGACACACUCAGGUGCAAACUGACACACAGAUACAGACACAUACACACACUGAUACACACAUGCACACACAUAGGAGAUACAGGCACAUGCAUUGACAUACAUGAAAAUAUACAGACACAGUUACACACACAUACAUUCACG